rnacentral:rRNA from 1 species
AUGAAUGACAUCAACUACGCUAUCAUGUCAUGGAAUGUUAGAGGCCUCAAUUCGGCGGCAAAAUGAGAAACUAUUAGAGAAGUUUGCGUGGCACAGAGACUAGCCAUUCUCUGUUUACAGGAAACAAAAAUAGAUAUUUGGUCUCAAGCCAUGGUUAGUGACAUAGGAGGCAAUUGGAUGAGAGACACCUUAGUUCUCCCGGCGAUAGGAUCUAGAGGUGGCAUUGCGAUCUUCUGGAACAGAGAU